UGUCUUCCCCACUCCGGGGCCCUAGCAAAGGAGUAUGAGAGACCAUCUUUCCUAGGAUGCACUGCGGUCCAUUCAGCUUCACUUCCUCUUCAGGCGGAGGAAGGAUACAGGGAAGCUUUCUGGUUAAAGCCGAGUUACAGGGUAUGGGUGUCGGAAGCAGAGGGUCUGAAGUUCUCGCCGUCUAGAAGGGGAGGGAAAUGAAAGGCUCUCAGUGAGAAGAGUGUACAUAAUGUGCUCGAAUACAUCGUCUCGUCCUCACACCAGUCCUGCGAUACCUUUACCAGGUCUUCUCAGAAGCCUUCUAUGCUGAUGACAUUGUGACUCUUUCCAGAGAGCAGCAGUGAUGGCUCCAGAAUGUCUAGGGAGAGGAAGAGCUUAGUGUCAAGAGUCUGCUCACAGCACAAGAUACUCUAGGAUGUGUCCUUCAGCGACAUCUGUUUUGCACACUGUUUUAUUUAGAGCUAUACCAGCAUAAUAUGGAAAUCAACUGAACGGCUGAACAGCGGAACGACCAUCCGGACGACCAUCCGGGACCACACUGUGACACCCACUGGCUCCAGGCUAGCCAAGGCAGGUUCAGAACUCUUCAGGUCAACUUACCAAUAAGUUGAAUAUGUAAAACAGAUAAGCGCAGUUGAAAUGGGGCAAGAUAAGAGUUAUUUCAACCUGAUAGCAUCCCUGCCAUCAUCCCUGCCCUCCACCCCUUUCCCCCCGCACCCCCCCCACCACCACCACCAGAAGAAGCUCCAGAGGGUACUUUGGAAAACAUUGGAAAAAUUCAUCCCAUCAUAUAUAACUUAAAAUGCCACAUCUUUAAUAUGCUACAUUAAAAUUUUUACUUAUUUCAA